CGGAGGGUGCAAGCGUUAUCCGGAUUCACUGGGUUUAAAGGGUGCGUAGGCGGAUAGGUAAGUCCGUGGUGAAAUCCUGCAGCUUAACUGCAGAACUGCCGUGGAUACUAUCUAUCUUGAAUGUCGUGGAGGUUAGCGGAAUAUGUCAUGUAGCGGUGAAAUGCUUAGAUAUGACAUAGAACACCCAUUGCGAAGGCAGCUAACUACGCGAAUAUUGACGCUGAGGCACGAAAGCGUGGGGAUCAAACAGGAUUAGAUACCCUGGUAGUCCACGCCCUAAACGAUGAUUACUCGACAUUGGCGAUACACAGUCAGUGUCUGAGCGAAAGCAUUAAGUAAUCCACCUGGGAAGUACGAUCGCAAGAUUG
rnacentral:rRNA from 1 species